rnacentral:sRNA from 1 species
GCCAGGCGUGGUGAGCAAGCCUGUAAUCUCAGCGGCUCUGGAGGCUGAGACAGGAGAAUCACGAGUUCAAAGCCAGCCUCAGCAAAAGCGAGGCGCUAAGCAACCCAGUGAGACCCUGUCUCUA